rnacentral:misc_RNA from 1 species
GAAAUGCGAUAAGUAAUAUGAAUUGCAGAAUUCAGUGAAUCAUCGAAUAUUUGAACGCACCUUGCGCUCCUUGGUAUUCCUUGGAGCAUGCCUGUUUGAGUAUCAUGAAAUCUUCAAAGUAAAUCUUUUGUUAACUCAAUUGGUUUCUACUUUGGUAUUGGAGGUCUUUGCAGCUUCACACCUGCUCCUCUUUGUUCAUUAGCUGGAUCUCAGUGUUAUGCUUGGUUCCAAUCGGCGUGAUAAGUUAUCUAUCGCUGAGGACACUGUAAAAGGUGGCCAAGGUAAAUGCAGAUGAACCGCUUCUAAUAGUCCAUUGACUUGGACAAUACUUUUAUGAUCUGAUCUCAAAUCAGGUAGGACUACCCGCUGAACUUAAGC